CGGUUAUGAGUAAUUAACGGAACUGUCGUUAGUUACUAUGUGAUUGUACUUCAUUAACGUAACUGUUCGCCGUGCCCACACCGAACAGUUACGCUUUUUU
rfam:Lactobacillus animalis strain 381-IL-28 NODE_42_length_33947_cov_22.511267, whole genome shotgun sequence.